GGAUAGCUCAGUUGGUAGAGCAUGAGACUCUUAAUAUCAGGGUUGUGGGUUCGAGCCCCACCUUGGGCA
rnacentral:tRNA from 1 species